GAUGAACGCUGGCGGCGUGCCUAAUACAUGCAAGUCGAGCGAACAGACGAGGAGCUUGCUCCUCUGACGUUAGCGGCGGACGGGUGAGUAACACGUGGAUAACCUACCUAUAAGACUGGGAUAACUUCGGGAAACCGGAGCUAAUACCGGAUAAUAUAUUGAACCGCAUGGUUCAAUAGUGAAAGACGGUUUUGCUGUCACUUAUAGAUGGAUCCGCGCCGCAUUAGCUAGUUGGUAAGGUAACGGCUUACCAAGGCGACGAUGCGUAGCCGACCUGAGAGGGUGAACGGCCACACUGGAACUGAGACACGGUCCAGACUCCUACGGGAGGCAGCAGUAGGGAAUCUUCCGCAAUGGGCGAAAGCUUGACGGAGCAACGCCGCGUGAGUGAUGAAGGUCUUCGGAUCGUAAAACUCUGUUAUUAGGGAAGAACAAAUGUGUAAGUAACUAUGCACGUCUUGACGGUACCUAAUCAGAAAGCCACGGCUAACUACGUG
rnacentral:rRNA from 1 species